AUCGCUUCUAAAAACAAAAAGCUCAGAUCAAGUGUAGUAUCUGUUCUUAUCAGUUUAAUAUCUGAUACAUCCCCAAUAGGGGUACUGUCUAUAUUAAAUGGAUUUUAGGAAGCGGGAGAUGCAAGCGGGGUUUGCUCCGUCCACUCCACGCAUCGACCUGGUAUUGCAGUACCUCCGAGAACGGUGCCGAUUUC